rnacentral:lncRNA from 1 species
AUUUGCUGUUGAAUUAAUUAUUCACUUUGAGAAAAAUUCACGGGGAGUGCUAGUUGAGGCCAAACCCUAUGAUCAGUUUUGAAAACCAAACAUCAAAUUAGAAGUGAUGCUACCUUCUUUUAAUAUGUUCAUCCAAUCAUUGGGAUAUCUUUUUUCUUUCCCUUAUAUUUCCCCAGUUAGUCAUUAUUCAUGCAUCACAUUUAGUCAGGAACUCCACUUGAGGAGUUCACAUUUAAGAUCUAAAAACUGCUGUAUAAGAAGAAAAAUUACAGUUGAGCAUGGCAAGUAUUAUGACAGAGAUAUGAGGAAACGACUGCAAAGUGCAGAGCAAAUAUUGUGAGAUGAUUAGGAGGCAUUCUCGCUGUACCCCAUUUCUUCCGCAGGGAUAAAACGCUGGAAUGUAAACAGCUAACAACAGCUAACAUAAGCUGCAGACAUGGUGCACAGAUAAAUUACUACAAAAAUCAUUGGGUUACAGGAUCAUACACAUUCGGUAUUCGAUAAUUUAUCAAUGGCGUGAAUAGCAUUUGUUAAAUGAAUGAGUACCAUCAAGGCAGUUAAAACUACAAGUGGCCAAAGGACCACACUGUACAGUUGAUGACAGGCUAACACAGACCUGUUGGAGAGGAGGGAGCGACACCUAUAAUGUCAAGGCUGGUUAGGAAGCUGGUUAUGAAGUCUCAGUCCCACAUAGGAUUACUGAGCAUAUCACCUUUCACUGGCUCUAACACCACGAGCCUUGCUGAUGAGGGAAAGAGAAGCUCCAUCUGGGGGCAUGCGCUGCAGCUGAGGCAUGGAGGGGUAGGCGGAGCUUACGAGUGGACUUGCUGAAUAGACCCCAAGACUAGGCUUCUCCAGAGAAGGCUAACACUCUGUGAUGUAGGAU